rnacentral:misc_RNA from 1 species
ACCACUCCUGACUUCAGGACCCUGGUAACAACAAAAUUCAAAUGAGCAAGCAAGUGAAGUACUACUUAAGAGAAAGACAACAUAUCAUGUUGCAAGUUUGUUCCACAUAAUUUCAUGUACUGAAGAUUUUGCACAUCUAAGUGUGUGCGUGUAAUUAAUUAUAAUAUAGUGGUUAAUUUAACAAUAAUUGUGGGAGAUUGCCAACCUGCAUUUAGUAUAAUUUGUUACCAUUAUGACACAAUGGCACAUAUAUAAGCUUAUUACUUUCUUUUGCUUGCCAGAUUCCCUUAUCUAAAAGGAUAGAUGUGGACAUGACCUUCAAAAGCUUCACAGAAAUAAGCAUAUGACACACAAUCAGCACUGAGUUGUUCAAAGCAUGGGUAAAUUAUAAGUAGUAGUAAGAGAACGUUUACGAUUCAAAAACAGGUGAACACUAAUCACAUUCUUUGACUGACUAGAAAUGGUACAGAUAAUUCUGAGUAAUGUUACUGGUAAAUCUAUUUAAAGAAAUGUUCCAAAUCUCUGGUAUAUCCCCCAAGUACUGCAAAUUGCAAACUAGAGCAAAGCAGUAUAGCAAUUUAAAUAUGAAUCACAAAAUUAA